GGGCCAUUCCGACGGCUAAUAAUGCAAGUCGACGCUUCUUUUUCCACCGGAGCUUGCUCCACCGGAAAAAGAGGAGUGGCGAACGGGUGAGUAACACGUGGGUAACCUGCCCAUCAGAAGGGGAUAACACUUGGAAACAGGUGCUAAUACCGUAUAACAAUCAAAACCGCAUGGUUUUGAUUUGAAAGGCGCUUUCGGGUGUCGCUGAUGGAUGGACCCGCGGUGCAUUAGCUAGUUGGUGAGGUAACGGCUCACCAAGGCCACGAUGCAUAGCCGACCUGAGAGGGUGAUCGGCCACAUUGGGACUGAGACACGGCCCAAACUCCUACGGGAGGCAGCAGUAGGGAAUCUUCGGCAAUGGACGAAAGUCUGACCGAGCAACGCCGCGUGAGUGAAGAAGGUUUUCGGAUCGUAAAACUCUGUUGUUAGAGAAGAACAAGGAUGAGAGUAACUGUUCAUCCCUUGACGGUAUCUAACCAGAAAGCCACGGCUAACUACGUGCCAGCAGCCGCGGUAAUACGUAGGUGGCAAGCGUUGUCCGGAUUUAUUGGGCGUAAAGCGAGCGCAGGCGGUUUCUUAAGUCUGAUGUGAAAGCCCCCGGCUCAACCGGGGAGGGUCAUUGGAAACUGGGAGACUUGAGUGCAGAAGAGGAGAGUGGAAUUCCAUGUGUAGCGGUGAAAUGCGUAGAUAUAUGGAGGAACACCAGUGGCGAAGGCGGCUCUCUGGUCUGUAACUGACGCUAAGGCUCGAAAGCGUGGGGAGCAAACAGGAUUAGAUACCCUGGUAGUCCACGCCGUAAACGAUGAUUGCUAAUUGUUGGAGGGUUUCCGCCCUUCAUUGCUGCAACUAAACGCAUUAAGCAAUCCCCCUGGGGGAGUACAAACCGCAAAGGUUGGAGACUCACAAGGAAAUUGAACUGGAAGCCCGGAAAAACCGAGAGAAGCAUGUGGGUGUAAUACGAAACCAACCGCAAGACGCGUGACCAGAUUCUUGCACAUGGUGUUUGACGUGUCGACAAUAUAAGAGCGU
rnacentral:rRNA from 1 species